rnacentral:tRNA from 1 species
AGCUCCGUAGCUCAAUUGCAUAGAGCAAUGCUGAACGAAGGCAUAGGUUGCAGGUUGGAAUCCAGUCGGAGCUA